UCAUAAAUGGGAUCAUAUAUGAUCUCUGAGGCCUUAUAAAAGAGGCCUCAGAGAGAUCUCUAGCACCUUACCCCAUGGGAGAGUACAAUGAGAAGUCUGUGACCUGGAAGAGGGCUCUCACCAGAACCCAACCAGACUAUCACUCUGAUCUUGGGACUUCCAGCCUCCAGAACCAGGAAGCCACAGCAGUGGGACAUGAGCAACCGAAGAGGGCCACCUAGUGUAAAGUGAAGAUCCCUAAGAAACAUCAGGCACCCAAACUUCAUCUUAGCAUCUGCUUCUGGAGAAUCCAGUGUGUAGCUCCAGGAAUGAUUCAAGAAAGCAGAAUGACACAGGAUGUUGGAGCCAAAUCACUUACCACCUGCUGGCAAUGAGGACCCCCUCAUGGUGGGUUUCUCAUUCAGCAGAUGAGGCAGGCUGAGAACCUAUUCUAAUGAGUUCCCAGGUGAAGCAGACACUUGGAAGAACCACUGCUCCACAGAACUGUAACAGAAGGAGAAGAAAGGCAACUGGAAGCCAGACAGACCACUGGAGGCACACAAAGAAGCUGUCCCCUGCAGCAUCAAUCCGAGAGUGCCAAGACCAAGCCCAGGGUCAGAGAUGGGUAGAUCUUAGAGACAAUUAAUGGCCAACCAGGGUAGAUCUGUAUGCCAAGGGAUGGGACCUAGAAACCUGAGAGGACAUACAGGUUUUUAAGCCCCUAGACUCCUUAAAACCCUCCACUUCCUCAGAGGAGGCCCAAUCCUAUCUAUCAGGGGUGAUCACUUACCUGUGUCUCAAGGCCACAGAACACUGGCAAGGCAACACUGCCUCCCCACAACCAGACUCCCCUCCUGGCCAACAGAUUUAUAAUUAGGGUCACUUCACAGCAUAACCCAGCAGGGGAGGUGCUGCCAAGAGAGAUUAUAUCCCAAAGGAGCUGCAAGAACUGGCCAGCAUGUGCCAGCAGCAGGAGUCUGCACAAGACUGGAUGCUGAGAGUGCUUGACCAAAAAGGGCCAGAACAUAAAAGUGGUUAGGGAAGAGUUUAUUGACUAGCGAGCAUUCAGGAUUCAAGAACACCAGAUACCACGAACUCCCUAUUAAGAUGUCUCCUGAAAGCAUGAAAAAGCAAUGGCCCACAUGAGUGUAGUUAAAAUACCCAAACUGCCAUGACAGAGGAGGAAAUAAUUCAAAGAGUCAGGAAGUGAGCACAUUAGAAUGGAUACAAUAUCUAUGACUGAAAAAUAUACCAGAUUAUCAUAUCAUAUUCAACUGAAGGCCCAGAGGAGAUGCCAAAGGCCAUUUCCUAGGGGCCAAAAGAAAUGUGCUGGUGAAGGGACACCAGCCUCACUAGGAAGGUCAGUGGUGGUCUCCUCUGCAGGCCAGGGCCAACCGUAAAAAAGGGGGUCAGAGAGCAGAGCUUGCUGAUAGCAAUGAGGAUGACAGGACUCUGAAAAUAAGGGAGGUAAGAUGAUGGGACUAACUGCUAGAAGCCAGAUCUCACACUAUCAUUAUAACCAGCAAGAUCAAAGAGGCAACUAUAGAGGUCUGGCCCACAAAAGUCAUGGAAGUAGUUAAUAGAACACAGUAUCCUUAGGUAAGAUAACCGAAAAGCUGACGAGUAAUACUUAGUUUGUACCAACAGAAGACAUUAAGAAUGGUUAACCAAGGGGCUGAAGGCAGGUUAAAGUCAUGAUCCCUUUCCCAGUUCCAGCCCUAUAGUAAAAAAGGCCCUGCAAUACCAUUACAAGCAAAAAUAGUCUCGACAACCCUGUCCUUCCCCAAAGGGCCCUAUGGCCAUUUACCAAAAAAACUGUACACCGGGGAAAGGGGAACCAAAGAGUGUUUAAGGAGAAUCAGAUACAGGGGAUCCCUGGGUGGCUCAGCAGU